GACGAACGCUGGCGGCGUGCUUAACACAUGCAAGUCGAACGGAAAGGCCCUGCUUUUGUGGGGUGCUCGAGUGGCGAACGGGUGAGUAACACGUGAGUAACCUGCCCUUGACUUUGGGAUAACUUCAGGAAACUGGGGCUAAUACCGGAUAGGAGCUCCUGCUGCAUGGUGGGGGUUGGAAAGUUUCGGCGGUUGGGGAUGGACUCGCGGCUUAUCAGCUUGUUGGUGGGGUAGAGGCUUACCAAGGCUUUGACGGGUAACCGGCCUGAGAGGAUGACGAGUGACACUGGAACUGAGACAAGGGGAAGAGUCGUAAGGGAGGCAGAAGUGGGGAAUAUUGGACAAUGGGCGAAAGCGUGAUCAAGGCAUGCCGCGUGUGUGAAGAAGGUCUUCGGAUUGUAAAGAACUUUAAGUUGGGAGGAAGGGCAGUAAGUUAAUACCUUGCUGUUUUGAAGUGAACAACAGAAUAAGCACCGGCUAAAUUCGGG
rnacentral:rRNA from 1 species